rnacentral:lncRNA from 1 species
AUUGCAAGAGCCAGGCACUUGAGGGAAGAAAAUAACAUAUUUUUCCAAAUUCCAAAAGCUUUUCUUUAAAUAUUCAGUACUACAGCUUGGAGGACUGAGUAUAAUUUUUUCCUAUAAAUUAAAAAGUUAGAAGAAUGUAGGAUACGACAAAUUCAAUUUCCUACCACACAGGAAGGCGAUCUCAAACUUUCUCAACGAGGACGUGGAGUUUGUGGGGAGAGGAGAGAGAGAGCAAGAUAAAGCAAAGGAGCCCGGGAGAAGGCCUCCGGCUACGGCAACUGACAUCAGAUGAGCUCAUCCCACGCAGGAGUGCUGGGGCCAUAAAUCUUUCAAAAGAUUAAAUGGAGGCACCAAAGUGGGGAUUAGAAAAUAUGGCCAAGCAAGCAGCAGACGUGGUCCUGCCUUCACGGAGAGCUUGGGAUCUAGGCAGCUGCAGGCAGAUGGUGCAUGGCAGGAGAGGUGAGUGAGGCAUGCCUGGACACACUCACACUCAAGAGGAUGUAUCUCACCCUUGAUUCGGCCUUGCAACCACAGACAGUUAUUGGCCACUAAUUCACUGCAAGACAACAAGGAAGGCCAACAUGGAAAACAGAGAAAGAUAUGGAAGCCUGGGUCCUGCCUUCAAGGUGCUUAUGAUACAUGAGAGAUGAGACAGAGAUGCAGGGGAAACAUCACAAUCAAAAUAUAGUAGAGGAGGAGGAUCCAAGAUAGCACUGUGAGUAGUCCUCUUUGUCUCUCUCCCAUCGAGUCUACAAUUAUUUGGACAUUCAUCGCUUAACUAAGGAUAUCCAUAUAGCAUCUCAGGACGUCUGAGAGACCCAUGCGGCUAUUCAUCGGAAGGCGGAUGGACUUCCCUCUGGGAGGAGGUGGAGAUAGGUGAAAACUCUCCGACCCCGACCGAACAGCCUAGUACCUGCAAGCAGCUUUCUACCAACGGACGCCCCCAGAACAUCAACACAC